rnacentral:sRNA from 12 species
CAUGAUGAGACUGAAAUGAUCUUGGAUUGUAUAGAAGGUAGUCCCAGUCGCCCCCACUCAGACUCUUGCACAGUAUACUGUGCAAGAGUAAGGUGAGAAACAACUUAAGUUGGAAACUUUAAUUUUAUUAAGAGAUUAAGGAACUGG